AAAAAGGUCCUUUUCAGGACCACCACGUAUAAAAUUGUUCAGCAGU
rnacentral:ncRNA from 1 species